CUCCUGUGUGUCCCUAUAAGCCUGCAGCCAAACAAGAUAAUAACCCUAACAAAGUCGUGACGGAAGCUAAACCUGGCUUACAUGAAUCUGUAUCCAAACUGGCAGGAACGGCUGAUGACAAGCAGGAUUGAAGUUCAGAAUGAACAAAUGUAAACUUGGUCAUAAGAAUUUUCACUCUCAGGGACCCAGUUGUAUGUUCGAUGUCCGAAAAUUAAAAAUUAACAUCAGUUUUGAAACCUUUUUAAACUUGGUUGUGACAAUUUAUAACAUUUUUUAGGUGAAAAGCACAUUCUGUGUGAGAAAGAAUAUUGCAGUGGCACCACUUUACAUGCUAUCUCUUAACUCUGUUGCACUUGUUGAUAUUCUUUAAUGUUAAGUCAAUAGUUAUUUUAA